UACGAAGGGGGCUAGCGUUGUUCGGAAUUACUGGGCGUAAAGGGCGCGUAGGCGGUCUGUCAAGUCAGGCGUGAAAGCCCCGGGCUCAACCUGGGAACUGCGCUUGAGACUGGCAGGCUCGAGUUCGGGAGAGGAUGGUGGAAUUCCCAGUGUAGAGGUGAAAUUCGUAGAUAUUGGGAAGAACACCGAUGGCGAAGGCAGCCAUCUGGACCGACACUGACGCUGAGGCGCGAAAGCGUGGGGAGCAAACAGG
rnacentral:rRNA from 1 species